GAUGAACGCUAGCGGCAGGCCUAACACAUGCAAGUCGAGGGGUAGAAGCUUUCGGGCUUUGAGACCGGCGCACGGGUGCGUAACGCGUAUGCAAUCUGCCUUGUACUGGGGGAUAGCCCAGAGAAAUUUGGAUUAACACCUCAUAGUAUUUUUGCCUGGCAUCAGGUGAUUAUUAAAGGUUACGGUACAAGAUGAGCAUGCGUCCCAUUAGCUAGUUGGUAUGGUAACGGCAUACCAAGGCUACGAUGGGUAGGGGUCCUGAGAGGGAGAUCCCCCACACUGGUACUGAGACACGGACCAGACUCCUACGGGAGGCAGCAGUGAGGAAUAUUGGUCAAUGGGCGCAAGCCUGAACCAGCCAUGCCGCGUGCAGGAUGAAGCAUCUAUGGUGUGUAAACUGCUUUUGUACGGGAAGAAACACUGCUACGUGUAGCAGCUUGACGGUACCGUAAGAAUAAGGAUCGGCUAACUCCGUGCCAGCAGCCGCAGUAAAAC
rnacentral:rRNA from 1 species